rnacentral:misc_RNA from 1 species
AAUUUCUCAAAUUCACCCGUACCCUCCGGAAAUCACGUCCGGACGCUGCCCCAAUCGGUGUAAAUCCCGGCAAAUUGCCCACUACGCCCAUACAAACAAAUAUAAAUGUCGAAACUCGGAGCUCGCUUCAAGUCCUCGACUUUCGCUGUACGCAGGCAUUACAUCAUCUCGCGCAUCUGGCGCUUUAACACCGUUGGAGUCCUGCACUUCUUCGGUACUGAAACAACCACCAAGGUGGUUAAGGAAUUUUCGGCUCCUCAGCCGAUAGUCCCUCUACGGAAAUCCUGUUUUCCGUUUUCUGUUCGCGCUGCUGUUCGCGCGAUUAAAGCUGCCGGACGUCCCAUUGACCGUCCGCGCUCUGGAUGCCUCUGUGGCCUCCCUGUUAUCGACACAUCUGGUGUCGUACGUGCCUCUGUCGCGGGCAUUUGGAGGUAUUCUCUGUGUAAACCUCCCCUUACUGCCGCCGCCAAGAAGUCCAUUGCCAAGGCGAAGAAAGAUUCUGCUUUCUUUCUUAGCCGGGCUUCUUCACUCUUCUCACGGGAAGUCCCCUGCGGCACGCGUCAUAGACUUCGUAGGCGCGUUAUGAAACGAGUAGACCCUACCAUGCACGAGAGUCCCCAAGACGAGAUCAAACUUAAGGGACGCCGACAUGGCAAGAAUUCUGACCUCCCGUAUAUGGGGGAAGCGGCGUUGGAUGAUAUCCUUCGCUGGAUUGAGGGGGUAAAUCCCCCGCCGUCGAUGGUCGCCAUUCCGGUGCCCAUCUCUUUCGGCGCCAUGCCCACAACGGCAUCGUGCUCUCCUGUUGACGCGGCUGUUUUGCGGUGUCGUUUAGACUACCACGCCGCUGAGACUUCCUUUCGUGACGAAAGGAAGCACGUGAGAUACGUCUAUAAUGACGUGUCUUCUGCUGCCAACCGUCCUCGUACGGUUUCUGCCAAGUGCGGGCGUGUUUUCAGCGGUUCUGCGCUGGGUGUUGAGGUCCCGAGCACUAGGGAUCGCCAUACCGCUUUCGUGAGAUCUACUCACGCUAGCGUUUUCUUCUCCCGGAGUUCGCCGGUUCGCAUGUUCCGUCCUGGGCGGAAUAAUUUCUUCACUAGCGUCGUUAGUGGGCGGCGCGUUAGUUACUUUAGACCCGGACCUAAUGGUACGGUGUCUGUUUUAAUGUCGGACGGUGUCAACACGGCGCGUCUCGACGUUGUGCCUCCUGGCUACUAUGCGUACGCUAAAGCGUUAGGCGCCAAAGUGCCGUGUUUGUGGGAGUCGUCCGAUUUGGACGAUGCUAAGAUACGUGACGGCCAGUGCUACGUUCGUCACGUAUACGACGUGGCCCUUUACUUCGGAAGGCGCGUCGAUCUUUCUGUGCGCCGAACUUUGGGUUUGUUUCCCACAGUGGGUGCACUAAAAGCUUAUCUUCUUCGCGAGUACGGUCGCAACUCUUUGAAGGUUCCGAUGCGCGGGACUUACACUUUUGGCAGUGUGUUUCAUUGCCUGUCGACUAAAUCUUUUGUCGACUUGAGAUCUUCUGACGAAAGCAACACAGCUAGCACUGAAGUCAAAACCGUAAGUUUGGAAGCGGAUCGCUUGGAAUUUUUACGGAAAAUGAAUCCCUUUAUUAUCGACGCUUUGAUACGGAAAACUAGUUAUCAGGGUGCCUUUCGCGCGAGAAUAAUAGGAGUGUGCGUGGAUUGUGGUAGAAAACACGAUAAGGCAUCGAGGACUGAACGUAAGUGUAAAGUCAACAACACACAAUCUCAGAACGAGGUGGCGCAUAUGUUAAUGCACGAUCCCGUGAAAUAUUUAAAUAAAAGAAAAGCUAGAGCUUUUUCUAACGCAGAGAUGUUUGCGAUCGAUUUGGUUAUGCAUACCAAAGAAAGGCAAUUAGCGGUUGAUUUGGCCGCUGAAAGGGAGAAGACGAGAUUGGCUCGUAGACACCCGAUGCGUUCUCCGGAGGAAACUCCGGAACAUUAUAAGUUCGGUAUGACUGCUAAGGCAAUGUUACCGAACAUCAACGCUAUAGACGUUGGUGAUAACGAAGACACUUCGUCGGAAUACCCAGUGAGUCUGAGUGUUUCAGGCGGAGUUCUCCGUGAACACCACUUCAUCUGAUUGAAGUGGACGGAAUAAGUUCCUUGCGGAACUUUAUGUCGGGUUGGUAAAAACCCUUAUGAUGGUGAUGUAUCACUAGACAAUAACCGGAUGGGUAAAGUCUUUAAAAUGAUCGAGGGGAAAAUUAACCAUAUCCUCUCGUUGGUCUAAGCUCCCACAGAGUGUAGUGGUCUCAAGUGAGGCUUAACGUAUGCGUGAACCAAAGAAGUUCUCCUUAGAGUGUGUGUUGUUUACCCAACACACUGUCCCUAUGGGGGGCCAACAUAGGUCCAU